UACAGAGGGGGCAAGCGUUGUUCGGAAUUAUUGGGCGUAAAGCGCGUGUAGGCGGCUUUGCAAGUCGGGUGUGAAAGCCCUCAGCUUAACUGAGGAAGUGCGCCCGAAACUGCAGAGCUUGAGUACCGGAGAGGAUGGUGGAAUUCCCCAAGUAGAGGUGAAAUUCGUAGAUAUGGGGAGGAACACCGGUGGCGAAGGCGACCAUCUGGACGGAUACUGACGCUGAGGAGCGAAAAGCGUGGGGAGCAAACAGG
rnacentral:rRNA from 1 species